GGGACUGUAGUUCAGCGGGAGAAUACUUCGCUGGCAGCGAAGGGGUCAGGGGUUCGAAUCCCCUACGCUCCA
rnacentral:tRNA from 2 species